rnacentral:rRNA from 1 species
UACGCUGGCAGUGCGUCUUAAGCAUGCAAGUCAAACGGGAUGUAGCAAUACAUCUAGUGGCGAACGGGUGAGUAACGCGUGGAUGAUCUACCUACGAGAUGGGGAUAACUAUUAGAAAUAGUAGCUAAUACCGAAUAAAGUCAAUUAAUUUGUUAAUUGAUGAAAGGAAGCCUUUAAAGCUUCGCUUGUAGAUGAGUCUGCGUCUUAUUAGCUAGUUGGUAGGGUAAAUGCCUACCAAGGCGAUGAUAAGUAACCGGCCUGAGAGGGUGAACGGUCACACUGGAACUGAGAUACGGUCCAGACUCCUACGGGAGGCAGCAGCUAAGAAUCUUCCGCAAUGGGCGAAAGCCUGACGGAGCGACACUGCGUGAAUGAAGAAGGUCGAAAGAUUGUAAAAUUCUUUUAUAAAUGAGGAAUAAGCUUUGUAGGAAAUGACGAAGUGAUGACGUUAAUUUAUGAAUAAGCCCCGGCUAAUUACGUGCCAGCAGCCGCGGUAAUACGUAAGGGGCGAGCGUUGUUCGGGAUUAUUGGGCGUAAAGGGUGAGUAGGCGGAUAUAUAAGUCUAUGCAUAAAAUACCACAGCUCAACUGUGGAACUAUGUUGG